UACGGAGGGGGCUAGCGUUGUUCGGAAUUACUGGGCGUAAAGCGCACGUAGGCGGCUUUGCAAGUUAGAGGUGAAAGCCCGGGGCUCAACUCCGGAAUUGCCUUUAAAACUGCAUCGCUUGAAUUGUGGAGAGGUAAGUGGAAUUCCGAGUGUAGAGGUGAAAUUCGUAGAUAUUCGGAAGAACACCAGUGGCGAAGGCGACUUACUGGACACAUAUUGACGCUGAGGUGCGAAAGCGUGGGGAGCAAACAGG
rnacentral:rRNA from 1 species